rnacentral:rRNA from 1 species
UACGGGGGGGGCAAGCGUUGUUCGGAAUUACUGGGCGUAAAGGGUUCGUAGGUGGCCUGCUAAGUCACACGUGAAAUCCCUCAGCUUAACUGGGGAACUGCGUGUGAGACUGGCGGGCUUGAGUGCAGGAGAGGAACGCGGAAUUCCAGGUGUAGCGGUGAAAUGCGUAGAUAUCUGGAGGAACACCGGUGGCGAAGGCGGCGUUCUGGACUGCAACUGACACUGAGGAACGAAAGCCAGGGGAGCAAACGGG